rnacentral:rRNA from 3 species
AAAUUGAAGAGUUUGAUCAUGGCUCAGAUUGAACGCUGGCGGCAGGCCUAACACAUGCAAGUCGAACGGUAACAGGAAA